rnacentral:rRNA from 1 species
AGUGAACGCUGGCGGUAGGCCUAACACAUGCAAGUCGAACGGCAGCACAGUAAGAGCUUGCUCUUACGGGUGGCGAGUGGCGGACGGGUGAGGAAUACAUCGGAAUCUACUUUUUCGUGGGGGAUAACGUAGGGAAACUUACGCUAAUACCGCAUACGAUCUACGGGUGAAAGCAGGGGAGCUUCGGACCUUGCGGGAUUGAAUGAGCCGAUGUCGGACUAGCUAGUUGGCGGGGUAAAGGCCCACCAAGGCGACGAUGCGUAGCUGGUCUGAGAGGAUGAUCAGCCACACUGGAACUGAGACACGGUCCAGACUCCUACGGGAGGCAGCAGUGGGGAAUAUUGGACAAUGGGCGCAAGCCUGAUCCAGCCAUACCGCGUGGGUGAAGAAGGCCUUCGGGUUGUAAAGCCCUUUUGUUGGGAAAGAAAAGCAGCAGGUUAAUACCCCGCUGUUCUGACGGUACCCAAAGAAUAAGCACCGGCUAACUUCGUG